rnacentral:misc_RNA from 1 species
UUUCCGUAGGUGAACCUGCGGAAGGAUCAUUAUUGUAUAACCGAGGUGCGAGGGCUGUCGCUGACCCGAAAGGUCGUGCACGCCCUAGUGCCCUCACACACAUCCAUCUCACCCCUAUGUGCACCACCGCGUGGGUCCCCCUUUGGCUUGUUCGGAGGGGGGCUUACGUUUUCACACAAACUUUGUAUGCAGUGUAGAAUGUAUUUUUUGUUUUUGCGAUCACGCAAUCAAUACCACUUUCAACAACGGAUCUCUUGGCUCUC